AUGGCCAUGGUCUGCCGCGCGGUCUUCGGGCCGGUGUUCAACAUGGACGGCCGCUGCCAACAGCUGCAGGACCUUGUCCGUUCCACCGGCGCCCUCGUCGCCGGUUAUAGCGCGCUGGACUUCUUCCCGGCCUUGGUCAGCAAGGCUGGCUUCAUCAGGCGGUUUGUCUGCGGCAAGGCGGCCAAGCUCAGGAGCGCGUGGGACGGGGUUCUAGAUGAAAUCAUCGCGGAGCACGAGCAGGACGGAUUCAUCGACUCGCUGAGGUCAGCUCAGCGCGAGUACGGGUUGUCCAAGGAGCACGUGAGAGUAAUCUUAAUCGACACCUUCUUCGGCGCCACCGACUCCACCGCAACGCUCAUGGAAUGCGUUUUGGCGGAACUAAUGGCGAACCCUCGCGCGAUGUACACCCUCCAAGCCGAGCUGAGGAGAAGCGUCCCCAACGGAGGAAGCAGCCAUGGAGAUGGAGGGAUACUAACCCAGGAUGAUCUCGCGGGUAAACCAUACUUCAAGGCAGUGAUCAAAGAAUGUUUUCGCCUCCACCGUCCAGCGCCCCUGCUCGGGCCGCACCUGUCCAUGGACAGGGUGCGGCUCCUCGACGGGUACCAGAUCCCAGCAGCAAUGCCCGUCAUGGUGAACGCCUGGGCCAUCGGGCGGGACCCGGUCGUUUGGGGUGAGGACGCUCAUACUUAUUGA
rnacentral:rRNA from 1 species